GUGCGUACUGUGCGGAGCAGGCUGGGAGGGACGACUCAGUACCAGAACGUGAGACAGCAAGGCAGUGUGUUCAAAGGGUGCCAUAAACUGUUGCUUUAUUUAAUGUGGGACGACACAGCACCAGACGUCAGACACCAAGGCACUGUUCAAAGGGUGCCAUAAACUGUUGCUUUAUUUCAUGUAUUGUCGCAUAACAAGACAGUGACAGGGGCCGUGGCUGCCUGCGUGUGCUGGUUCAAGCUUGGUGCCUGCCGGGAGGUGCCUACAGGGCCACCAAGGCUAAUAUUGGUAAGAAACCCGCCCACCACUUGUCCAGCCAGAUACAAAUGUAGAGGGACAAAAGAGAAAGGCAGGAAGACCACCACCACCAGCACAGUGGAAGAAAGGUGUGAGGACGCAACAAUCAACACUAUCGACAAAGCAGACGACAUAGACACUCGUAUGUUCUACACCCAUUUUGGCACAGCACAGUUUGGUGCAUGGACAGCCUGGGUGUGCUGGGUCGGCCUGACAAUGUUCGCAAUGCUCAAGCUAUGCAAGUACCACCAGCAGGAGAAUAUUCGGGUGUCAAUGGCCAGGGAACGGGCUCGCCUAGUCUCUGAUCGACAGUCUCAGAUCAGCGGAUGAUCGGAUGGUUCUUUGCCGGACAGCUGCUGAGUCUUCCUGUCAAAUUUCCAAACUUGACAUUAUUUUCCUGUUGAUUUUCCUCUCUUAGGUUUUUUUCCCAUUCUUGUUUUUUUUUUCCUCUCAGAUUUUUUCCUCUUCUUAUUUAUUUUAUUUUUUUCUGCUUUCAUUUUUGUUUUUCUGUCAAAUUGCACCUGUUUUCGUUUUUUUUUUCUUUUUUUCCCCUCUUGUUCUCCUAUUGAGUUUUUCUGUCUCUACUGUCCACCUUCCUAGCUCUCUAUCUUUUUUUUUCUUUUCUUUUCUUUUUUUUUUUGGUGUGUGUGUGUGUGUGUGUUUGUAUACAUAGAUGUACAUAGUUGAGUUAUAUCCUGGAGAUGUGUGUGUGUGUGUGUGUGUGUGUGUGUGUGUGUGUGUGUGUGUGUGUGUGUGUGUGUGUGUAAGAGAGAGAGAGAGUGUGUUUUCAUAUCUCUCUCUCUCUCUCUCUCUCUCUCUCUCUCUCUCUCUCUCUCUCUCUCUCUCUCUCUCUCUCUCUCUCUCUCUCUCUCUCUCUCUCUCUCUCUCUCUCUCUCUCUCUCUCUCUCAUAUUUGAACAAGUAAACACAUCUUACUUUUUCACAUUGCACUUAGAAAACACACACACACACACACACACACACACACACACACACACACACACACACACACACACAUACACUUAGUAUCACUGGCAUAAGUAGGUCUAUUUUUUUUUUUUUUUUCAUCACGUAGGCUUAAUGAAAACGUUGUGAAAAGCUUUAAGUUGUUAAGUAGGUGAUGUAAAGUAUGUUGGUCGUAACUUAAGACUUCCUACCCUUUUUUUCUAUACCUACCUAUUUUUUUACCUACCUGUUUUUACCUACCUAUUCUAUACCUACCUAUUUUUUUCUAUAUGAACAAGUUAUUAGUUAAUUUUAAAGCUAUUUUUUUUCUCUCAUUUCACUUGCAUUAUUCUCUCUCUCUCUCUCUCUCUCUCUCUCUCUCUCUCUCUCUCUCUCUCUCUCUCUCUCUCUCUCUCUCUCUCUCUCUCUCUCUCUCUCUCUCUCUCUCUCUCUCUCUCUCUCUCUCUCUCUCUCUCUGUAUCUAUCAUUAAAGAACAUAUAAACUCAUUAAUUCACUGGGUAUUAUCAAUAAGUUUUAGAUUAAAUAUUAUAAUUACUAGCUCUAGGUUUAUUUAUGUAACAGAGAGAGAGAGAGAGAGAGAGAAUGUACGUUUGUGUGUGUGUGUGUGUGUGUUUGUGUAUAAUCAUAUUCGCAUAUAUAAAUAUUGGAAGAGAUAAAUAAGAUGCAGAUUUUGUCCAUUGUAUAGCUAAGUAAUGAGGUCCUACAUACAUACAUACAUACAUACACAUUGCAUAUACUCACUAUAACCGUGUUCCAUUCCAGGCAGUUAGUGAAAAAAAUAUAUCUAUUGCUGUACCCUUUGUAUAUGUAUGUUUAAAUAAUGUAUUGGUUAUUACACUGUUUACUUUCUU